rnacentral:rRNA from 1 species
UACGUAGGGGGGCAAGCGUUGUCCGGAAUCAUUGGGCGUAAAGCGCGUGUAGGCGGCCCGGUAAGUCCGCUGUGAAAGUCCAGGGCUCAACCCUGGAAUGCCGGUGGAUACUGUCGGGCUCGAGUCCGGAAGAGGCGAGUGGAAUUCCUGGUGUAGCGGUGAAAUGCGCAGAUAUCAGGAGGAACACCAAUUGCGAAGGCAGCUCGCUGGGACGUAACUGACGCUGAGACGCGAAAGCGUGGGGAGCAAACAGG